GCCCCCAAAUUUCACAUCCAUACAAAAGUAUGGGUUUCACAACUUUAUCAAAAAGAUCUAAGUGACAUUGAAUAGAAAGAUUAUGCAUGCGGCCUGCUUUCAACACAUUAAACAUAGCUUUUGUUGCUUUUUCUGCUAAGUGUUUCUGUGCUAUUUUAGUAUUACCAGUUCUAGAUAAUAAUAUGCCUAAAUAGUUAAAUUCUUUAACAAUUUCAAUGUCCGUGCCGUCUAUAUCAAAAUGCAAUUUUGACGGCAUUCUGCCUCUAGAAAAAAUCAUCACUUUAGUUUUCGUGACGUUAACUUUAAGCUUCCAAACAUUACAGUAUUCACUGAAAGAAUCCAGCUGUUUCUGUAAAUCAUCAGCACUUUCUGCCAAUAGUACUGUGUCGUCUGCAUAAAGGAUUACAAACAUUUUUAGAUAAAUUUGAAGCUUGGACUCCAUUUCCUCAGAAAUACUCUCAAGCCCCCGCAGGCUUUUGUCUUCCAAAAAGUGUUCUAGGUCAUUCAAAUAUAAUGCAAAUAAUAUAGGGGAUAAGUUUUCACCUUGGCGGACACCUUUGUUACACAUAAAAUAGUCUGACACAUUACUGUUAUAUACAAUAUUUGAUUUUAUAUUUUCAUAUAAAUGUAUAAUUACAUUAUACAUUUUCCCAUUUAUAUGUUGAGUAAGCAACUUAAACCAGAGUCCAUCACGCCAAAUGGUAUCAAAAGCUCUUUCGAAAUCUAUAAAGGC
rnacentral:lncRNA from 1 species